ACGAACGCUGGCGGCGUGCUUCACCCAUGCCAGUCUCACGGAAAGGCCCUGCUUGCAGGGUACUCGAGUGGCGAACGGGUGAGUAACACGUGGGUGAUCUGCCCUGCACUUCGGGAUAAGCCUGGGAAACUGGGUCUAAUACCGGAUAGGAGCCAUUUUUAGUGUGAUGGUUGGAAAGUUUUUUCGGUGUAGGAUGAGCUCGCGGCCUAUCAGCUUGUUGGUGGGGUAAUGGCCUACCAAGGCGGCGACGGGUAGCCGGCCUGAGAGGGUGGACGGCCACAGUGGGACUGAGAUACGGCCCAGACUCCUACGGGAGGCAGCAGUGGGGAAUAUUGCACAAUGGGCGCAAGCCUGAUGCAGCGACGCCGCGUGGGGGAUGACGGCCUUCGGGUUGUAAACGCCUUUCGCUAGGGACGAAGCUUUUUGUGACGGUACCUAGAGAAGAAGCACCGGCUAACUACGUG
rnacentral:rRNA from 1 species